CGGAUGCGUAACACGUAUACAAUCUGCCUUUAACAGGGGGAUAGCCCGGAGAAAUCCGGAUUAAUACCCCAUAACAAUUUGACUGGCAUCAGUUGAAUUCAAAAGCUCCGGCGGUUAGAGAUGAGUAUGCGUCUGAUUAGUUAGUUGGUGAGGUAACGGCUCACCAAGACCACGAUCAGUAGGGGAUCUGAGAGGAUUAACCCCCACACGGAUACUGAGACACGGAUCCGACUCCUACGGGAGGCAGCAGUGAGGAAUAUUGGACAAUGGGCGCAAGCCUGAUCCAGCCAUGCCGCGUGCAGGAUGAAGCAUCUAUGGUGUGUAAACUGCUUUUAUACGGGAAGAAACCCUGCCACGUGUGGCAGAUUGACGGUACCGUAAGAAUAAGGACCGGCUAACUCCGUGCCAGCAGCCGCGGUAAUACGGAGGGUCCAAGCGUUAUCCGGAAUCAUUGGGUUUAAAGGGUCCGUAGGCGGGCCAGUAAGUCAGUGGUGAAAUCUCCCGGCUCAACCGGGAAAUGGCCAUUGAUACUGCUGGUCUUGAAUUAUUAGGAAGUAACUAGAAUAUGUAGUGUAGCGGUGAAAUGCUUAGAGAUUACAUGGAAUACCAAUUGCGAAGGCAGGUUACUACUAAUGGAUUGACGCUGAUGGACGAAAGCG
rnacentral:rRNA from 1 species